rnacentral:lncRNA from 1 species
UAACUUCUGCUCAUCGAUCAGUCUGUUUUUGCUUGAUUUUAUCUUCAUUCUCUUCUGGCUCAGGCGAUCCAUCUUCGUUUAAUCCUUAGGGUUUACAGUUCCUCCUUUGCAAGGGAUCCUCUUAUAGUCUUCCAUCAUCUUCAUACAUAAGAAAUCGCCACUUCUAAUGUCUUUGUCUCCAGGUUUCAUCUAAACCCUUUCCAUUCAAAUCGACUGUUUCGGGAAUUGACGGCUGUAAAAUUAGGGUUAUGGAAUUGGGUUUAUUUCAUACAGUAAUAAGCUAACUCAUAUUCAUCAGCUUAAGAAGAAGGAUGGCAAGACCUUAAUGGUUCUUCAGAUAAAGGAACAACAUGGAUACUGCCAAUCUCACAUUACAGUGCGGGGUUUGCCAGAUUGGUGUAAUUGGUUAAAAGGUUAG